GCAAGUCGAACGGUAAAUAUGCAGCAAUGUAUAUGAGAGUGACGUACGGGUGCGUAACACGUAUGCAACCUACCCUUUACAGGUGGAUAGCUCGGGGAAACUCGAAUUAAGCCACCAUAAGAUCAUAGAGUGGCAUCACUUCGUGAUUAAAUUACAAGAGGUAAAGGAUGGGCAUGCGUCUGAUUAGUUAGUUGGUGCGGGUAACGGCCCACCAAGACGAUGAUCAGUAGGGGAACUGAGAGGUUGAUCCCCCACACUGGCACUGAGAUACGGGCCAGACUCCUACGGGAGGCAGCAGUAGGGAAUAUUGGUCAAUGGAUGGAAGUCUGAACCAGCCAUGCCGCGUGCAGGAAGAAGGCCUUCUGGGUUGUAAACUGCUUUUGCCAGGGGCUAAAAAGCUCAUGCGUGGGAAAUUGAAAGUACCUGGUGAAUAAGCCACGGCUAACUACGUGCCAGCAGCCGCGGUAAUACGUAGGUGGCAAGCGUUGUCCGGAUUUAUUGGGUUUAAAGGGUGCGUAGGCGGCUUUGUAAGUCAGUGGUGAAAUAUGGCAGCUUAACUGUCAGGGUGCCAUUGAUACUGCGAGGCUUGAGUACAGAUGAGGUAGGCGGAAUUGACGGUGUAGCGGUGAAAUGCUUAGAUAUCGUCAAGAACACCUAUAGCGAAGGCAGCUUACUAGGCUGUAACUGACGCUGAGGCACGAAAGUGUGGGGAUCAAACAGGAUUAGAUACCCUGGUAGUCCACACUGUAAACGUUGAUGACUCGCUGUUGGCGAUA
rnacentral:rRNA from 1 species